rnacentral:rRNA from 1 species
CCUACGGGUGGCUGCAGUGGGGAAUAUUGGGCAAUGGGGGCAACUCUGACCCAGCAAUGCCGCGUGAAUGAAGAAGGCCUUCGGAUUGUAAAGCUCUUUUAUCAGGGACGAAGAAGAUGACGGUACCUGAGUAAUAAGCCACGGCUAACUAUGUGCCAGCAGCCGCGGUAAUACAUAGGUGGCAAGCGUUUUCCGGAAUGACUGGGCGUAAAGGGAGCGUAGGCGGCCUGUUAAGUUGGAUGUGAAAUCCCGGGGCUCAACCCCGGAAUUGCUUUGAAUACUGACGGACUUGAGUGUAAGAGAGGUAGGCGGAAUUCGUGGUGUAGCGGUGGAAUGCGUAGAUAUCAGGAGGAACACCAGUGGCGAAGGCGGCUUACUGGACUAUAACUGACGCUGAGGCUCGAAAGCGUGGGUAGCAAACAGGAUUAGAUACCCUUGUAGUC